rnacentral:snRNA from 1 species
UGGAACGAUACAGAGAAGAUUAGCAUGGCCUCUACUCAAGGAUCACAUGCAAAUUCACGAAGCAUUCCAAAAUUUA